UCCUCAUAGCUGAGUCAGUAAAGAAUCUGCCUACAAGGCAGAAGACCUGGGUUUGAUUCCUGGGUCAGGAA
rnacentral:tRNA from 1 species